AUACAGAGGAACCGAGCAGUCCCUCACAGUGGUGAGACCCCGCCCUCAGAGGAAGAGACUCCGCCCUCAGAGGAAGAGACACGCCCUCCUACCAAGCCAACUGAACAGGUACACAGGUUUGUUUCCCGGUUAAACAGACUAAGACAACAUCAUGAUAAAUGUGCUCAACGCUAUGAACAGCUGUUAACAACCACACGUGAAACUGAAAGCGGUGACUGGUUACACACAGAAUGAUAAAUUUGAGGCUCCCAGAAAGCAUGUGUGGGUAGGACUAAACCCCGGUCCAUGGUAGACCUGGACAAUGCUCAUCGCAAACAAGGCACAAAAAUCAGUGUGAAACAGAAGUGGUCAGAAGACGAGGACGCAUCCGGCGAGUGCCCGGGAAGGCCGACUGUGUCUCAUGCCUUUUGGUUGAACCUCUGGCACUGGGAAACCGAGACUGGUCUGCUAUUAAAUUUAAUGUCAAUAACAGAAUUACUGCGUUGAAAAGACAACAAAGUCAGUAAGGUUUUCUUUACAUUUAUACUGUUUGCUGUUACAUACGUUGAAAUUUAUAUGCUGUUAUAUGUUAAGUUAAAGGGUUUGUUCAGCUGGAUAUGAUAUCUCCCGCAUACAUACUGUAUGAAACAUGUUAAACAACUCAACAUAUGUAUUUAUA